GAUGAACGCUGGCGGCGUGCCUAAUACAUGCAAGUCGAGCGAACAGACGAGGAGCUUGCUCCUCUGACGUUAGCGGCGGACGGGUGAGUAACACGUGGAUAACCUACCUAUAAGACUGGGAUAACUUCGGGAAACCGGAGCUAAUACCGGAUAACAUGUUGAACCGCAUGGUUUAACAGUGAAAGACGGUCUUGCUGUCACUUAUAGAUGGAUCCGCGCCGCAUUAGCUAGUUGGUAAGGUAACGGCUUACCAAGGCAACGAUGCGUAGCCGACCUGAGAGGGUGAUCGGCCACCCUGGAACUGAGACACGGUCCAGACUCCUACGGGAGGCAGCAGUAGGGAAUCUUUCGCAAUGGGCGAAAGCCUGACGGAGCAACGCCGCGUGAGUGAAGAAGGUCUUCGGAUCGUAAAACUCUGUUAUUAGGGAAGAACAAAUGUGUAAGUAACUAUGCACGUCUUGACGGUACCUAAUCAGAAAGCCACGGCUAACUA
rnacentral:rRNA from 1 species